rnacentral:rRNA from 1 species
UCCUACGGGGGGCAGCAGUAGGGAAUUUUCGUCAAUGGGCGCAAGCCUGAACGAGCAAUGCCGCGUGAACGAGGAAGGUCUUCGGAUUGUAAAGUUCUGUUGAAGGGGAAAAAGAGCGGAGAGAGGAAAUGGUCUCCGAUUGAUAUUACCCUUCGAGGAAGUCACGGCUAACUACGUGCCAGCAGCCGCGGUAAUACGUAGGUGGCGAGCGUUAUCCGGAAUGAUUGGGCGUAAAGGGUGCGUAGGCGGCCUGCUAAGUCUGGAGUGAAAGGUACCGGCUCAACCGGUACAGGCUCUGGAAACUG